GACGAACGCUGGCGGCGUGCUUAACACAUGCAAGUCGAGCGGUAAGGCCCUUUCGGGGGUACACGAGCGGCGAACGGGUGAGUAACACGUGGGUGACCUGCCCUCAGCUCUGGGAUAAGCCCGGGAAACUGGGUCUAAUACCGGAUAUGACUCCAUGACGCAUGUUGUGGGGUGGAAAGCCUUGUGCGGCUGAGGAUGGGCCCGCGGCCUAUCAGCUUGUUGGUGGGGUGAUGGCCUACCAAGGCGACGACGGGUAGCCGGCCUGAGAGGGCGACCGGCCACACUGGGACUGAGAUACGGCCCAGACUCCUACGGGAGGCAGCAGUGGGGAAUCUUGCGCAAUGGGCGAAAGCCUGACGCAGCGACGCCGCGUGAGGGAUGACGGCCUGUGUAACUC
rnacentral:rRNA from 1 species